rnacentral:misc_RNA from 1 species
CAUCAAUAUAUUUGAUUAUUGAAUGUUCUGUGUUAAUUUGGCUUAAAAAGUAGAAAAUGAACUGGAUUAGACAUGACAAUUGAGCCAGCGUUGAAUCUAAAUAAACAAAGCUAGAAUAGCACUACAUUCUUUUUUACUGACAGUGUCAAUCACAUGAAUCCCAUUGAGAACUACACACUAUUUUAAAUAAGUUGCUGCUGGUUAGAAGGAUUUGGUUUUUUAAUCCCUCAUUGGUGCAUAAUCAGAACAUAAAAGUUACAGAAUUUAUGUUCAUAAUGAUAAGGAAAACACCACCAGAAUUGCCCCAAGCAGCCACCGUAGGCGAACUGGUCUUUCAUCCAAAUAAGCAAAGCUGGAAUCUGCAGCACCAGGAACUGGAGCAACCUCAGCCACAGGCUCAUUACAUACUCCAAAGGUCAUAUUUGGCUGCAAAUGAGAAAGAAAUAUUUAAGUGUUAAUUAAGAAAUUUGCCGUUUCUCCAAUAGUUCUCCACUAUUGUUUCAAGUAUCCAUUUUCUAAGCAGAGAAGAAAGCUAAUCUCAUUACCUUACCAUAUUUCUAACGUAAUUUGUGAUCCCUAUUACUUGCUCUUUUGUCUUAAAUAAAUAUCAAUUCAUGACCUAUAAAUCCAAAAUUAACCAGUUGAAAUAAACAGAGGAACUUAUAUAAAAAAGGCUACAGCAGACCUUGCAAGAGGCAAUAUUUCCACAACCACAGACCAGAUGACCAUUUGCAAUAUCUACAGCUUCUGGACUUCCCCCACCAUCGCUUCUCUGGAGUGUUUGCAUACAAAUCAAUCGUACAUGGCACUACUUUCUCCAUAUACUUGCCCAAAAUAUUAAAUGAUACAAACGUAUUGUCCAUACCUUGUAAAAGUCAACUGCAAUGAAGUUAGGCCAUCUUUUACCUGCUGCAGCAUAACAUGUGUUCACCAUAUCUAUCAAGGGAGCAGAAUUAUGCUUGCAAGCUUGGGUUACAUCUGGUCUAUCAGGAAAGUAAUUCGCUAAUACUAGCGACCUUGAUGUUGUGUUCAUGGCAGGUGACUCUGCACGGUUUGGACAUGAACCAGCUAUCAUCCCACCGUCUCCAUAUUGGUUUUCUACUACGUAUCUCCAUUCAUAGGCAAUUCCUUCAGAAGCUUCCUUAGCUGAUUUUGAAGUAAAAACCACUAGACGCUCAUUCUUCUGAAUCAUAUCAUCAACAGUUGGCCAAUCUCCACCAUUUUUUGGCAUUCGAGAUACAGGAAACCAAUAUUUCUUCAGGCCAGCAGCAUUAAACACAUUUGUCAAGCCAUUUGGUGAUGAAACAUAGUCCUCAAUUAUAAUAGUGAUGAUUUCUGAAGGAUUUGCUUCAAGAAAUACUUGAACCUCUUUCAAAACAUUAAUUGCUGGUUGAAAAGCUGUAAAGUUGUAGCACUUUCCACCAAAGGAGUGACACAACCAGAUGUCAUUCUGAAAGUCAUACAUAUCUAACAUCAACCCUCUCACACCAUUAUUGAGUUGAUCAGUAAUGGAGUCCUGCUGAUUCAUGGGGGUUAGAAGUAUAGACCGAGUAGCUGAUCUCACUCCCAAUCUAGCAAACGAAUUAUGGGUUGUCAGCCACGAGUACCGAUUGAACGGCAAUCCCUUCACCAGAUCAAAACACAACAACAGCCAAAACCCAUUAGCAAUUACAUAAAAUAGACGCAAAUUAUAACUGAAAAAAUUGAGACCUUAGAGCAGACAGUGAACUUCUGUAUUGACCUUUGAAGUUGGGCUUAUGGGCUGAAUUCUGGUGCACCGCGGCCGUACAUUUCCAUUUGCCAAACAGGUUUCGCAGUGCAACCCUGAAUCGCAGUUCCUAUCUGCUACACAUGUUUGCCCCUCCUGCAGAGAAGUGGAGAAACUGAACAAAAAAGUUGUAGAGAAGAGAAAGGCAAUGAUGAUGGUUCCCUGAAAUUGCAUUGUUGGGUAUGAUUUUGGUGUGUUGUGAGCAGUAUAGGUGUGUUGAGAACAGUGUUGGUUUGUGGUGGUUUGUCUAUUGUUGUUGGUUAUGUUGUUCUGUUCUGGUAAAUCAUUUCAACCUAAAAAGGAAAAAGAAUAUGAAAAUGGAAAUUUAUAUUCAGAUUUGGAAUGUGAUAUUUGAAAAGGAAGAAGGGAGGGAAUGAGGAGGAAGAUGAUGAGGACAUGGAAGUUGGAAGCUUGAAAUCUAUAAAUAUAUUUUAAUUAAAAACAA